rnacentral:rRNA from 1 species
CCUACGGGUGGCUGCAGUGGGGAAUAUUGGACAAUGGGGGCAACCCUGAUCCAGUCAUGCCGCGUGUGUGAAGAAGGCCCUCGGGUUGUAAAGCACUUUCAGUGAGGAAGAACGCCUGGUGGUUAAUACCCAUCAGGAAAGACAUCACUCACAGAAGAAGCACCGGCUAACUCCGUGCCAGCAGCCGCGGUAAUACGGAGGGUGCGAGCGUUAAUCGGAAUUACUGGGCGUAAAGCGCGCGUAGGUGGCUUGAUAAGCCGGUUGUGAAAGCCCCGGGCUCAACCUGGGAACGGCAUCCGGAACUGUCAAGCUAGAGUGCAGGAGAGGAAGGUAGAAUUCCCGGUGUAGCGGUGAAAUGCGUAGAGAUCGGGAGGAAUACCAGUGGCGAAGGCGGCCUUCUGGACUGACACUGACACUGAGGUGCGAAAGCGUGGGUAGCAAACAGGAUUAGAUACCCCGGUAGUC